UUACAGAUGAGGAAAUACAGAUGAGGAACCUAAACCAUGGUGAUGUUAUCACUGGAGCUGCACCGACACAGCUGAAGUUGACCAAGAGUAUUCUUCUGUUUACGACCACUAAGGCACCUUGGACCUGAACACUACAUUGAAUGAUGAGAAAGGAAAGGCUUUGAGCUUAGAAGUUUCAGAAUUGGAACUCAAGUCUUUGGAUUCCCAGCACCAUGUCCAAGUUGAAGUCAUCUCUUCAAACCGAUAUUUGUAGUCAAACAAUGAAAAUCAACACACUGGCUAAAUCUGAGAAAUUAUGUCUCAUUCUGUACCUCUCUUCCAUUACCUCAGCCAACAUAUGAAAGAUAAAGAAGCAAAUGUUAAAAAGAAAAAAAAACAUCACCACCAAAAAAUGCAGAAGAAAACUUUUUUUUCAGCACCUACUUCUGUAUUAAAUGUCCAGUUCAUCUGCCACACUGAAAUAAAUGUUUGUUG